rnacentral:lncRNA from 1 species
CCAAGCAAAUUCACACAACUCAAAGGUUCGUGGGCCCUACAGCUAGGUAAUGCAUAUUAUUUGAGAUGCAUUCUUCUUGGAAGGUCAUUUUGAAGGCAUUUUGCUGAUAUAAUACUUCCAACUUGCUCUCUCCCAAGGCUCAUCACUGUAGUUGUUGCAUCUCCUCUUGCUUCCCUUCUUCUCCUCAAUCUUUUUCUUGCACCUCCCUCCUCCUCCUCGUUCCCCACCCCCCUCUCCCCCUCUCUUCUUCUCCUUGUACUCUCUCACAUCAGCCAUGCUUUCCCAGCCCUCUAAUUUUAUCGCUACUUUGCUCUUCUUUCUAAUACUAUUCAGAUUCCCUCGAUCCAGUUUCUCCGACAAUUCACCGCCAGUGUGCCCGUAUCCGUGCCUGCCACCGCCAACAUCUGUCACAAAUUGCCCUCCACCACCACCAUACACAACACCAGAGCCCGAAGCCGGCUACCCUCCGCCGCCUGGGACGCCGAAUUCUGAGUACUACCCUCCACCUUCAGGUUAUGUACCGUACAGCUACCCUCCACCUUAUAACAAUUUCCCUGCACCUCCUCCUCCUAAUCCAAUCCUCCCUUACUUCCCUUUCUACUAUAAGUCCCCGCAGCCACCCUACUCGUCGGCUCCCUCAGUACUCGCUCAUCUUGGCGCAGCAUUCGUUGGUUCCUUCGCAUUGUUAUUGGGAUUUCUUUUGUGUUAGUCGAUAUGGAGUGUUUUUCUGCUAUUAAUCUGUUACUUUUUUGGAGAACAAUUAGUAGUUUAGUUAAUGCAUAAUUAUAGAAAGAUGGUGUUUUUUUCAUCGUCUUUUGCAAUAGAUUGUAUAUGUAGUGGAAGUUGAAUAAUAGAGAAGGUGAUCGGCGAGGGGAGAAAGGUGGCUUGGCGGGGAAGUUUCGAGGAGACUAUUUCCUUCUUUGUUGUUACGUCAAAAUAAAAAUUUGUAUUAAGAGAAAAUGCUGCUUUAAUGAUGUGUAAAGUACUUUACUUUUGGUUAUCUUUUGACAUUAAUUCAUGUUCUUUUCUUUUCUUUUCUUUUCUUUUUUCCAAGGAUUCUAAAACCAUGGCAUGUUGGAAAUUGAAUUGACCACAUGAGGUAGGAGCUGGUAAAAGAAGAGUUGCGUGAACAUAUAUUGUUUUUAAAUAAAUUAUUAUGUAGCGAGAGUCGGCGAGACAUAACGAAACAUAUUUUUUCCAUAUCAUUUUGAGGUUAGUCCAAGUACCAAGGGAAAUUUACUGGAAAUGAUCAUUACGUCGGUGGAACGUUCUUGUCAACGUUGCGUUUGGAUCGAGGAAUGUGCUCUUCAAGUGUAGUGCAACGUUUACCCUGUACAUCUCAGGAUUAAUAGCUUGUCAAUCCUUCGUAAUUUUUUUGAUAUCUACCUCUCUUUGUUAUCGAAAUUGAAGGCUUUAUGUCAUGUUUCCCAGUCAUAUAGCAAAUAUUUUGCAAAUAGGUAGAAAGUGUUGUUUGUGUGUGUAAAGAUACUCAGAUUCCUACUAUUAGUUUUCAAAAAUUAGGGAUGGUAAUUACUAGGUGGGGUCAAGUCCAGGUU